rnacentral:piRNA from 1 species
UACCAGGAUCUGUCUUUACAUAUUGUGC